UACGGGGGGGGGCAAGCGUUGUUCGGAAUUACUGGGCGUAAAGGGCUCGUAGGUGGCCAACUAAGUCAUACGUGAAAUCCCUCGGCUUAACCGGGGAACUGCGUCUGAUACUGGAUGGCUUGAGGUUGGGAGAGGGAUGCGGAAUUCCAGGUGUAGCGGUGAAAAUGCGUAGAUAUCUGGGAGGAACACCGGUGGCGAAGGGCGGCAUCCUGGACCAAUUCUGACACUGAGGAGCGAAAGCCAGGGGGAGCAAACGGG
rnacentral:rRNA from 1 species